UACGUAGGCAGCGAGCGUUGUUCGGAGUUACUGGGCGUAAAGCGCGUGUAGGCGGUUGCGCAAGUUGGUUGUGAAAUCUCCCGGCUCAACCGGGAAACUGCAGCCAAAACUGCGCGGCUAGAGUGGCAGAGAGGAAAGUGGAAUUCCUGGUGUAGCGGUGAAAUGCGCAGAUAUCAGGAGGAACACCGGUGGCGAAGGCGGGUCUCUGGGCCGAUACUGACGCUGAGGAGCGAAAGCGUGGGGAGCGAACAGG
rnacentral:rRNA from 1 species